GGUUUAUUGUGUGAUGGCCGACCCUUGGUGACUCAUCCUCAUCCAGCUACCAAAACAAACACACUAAUGAGAGACUGAGCUUGUGGCAAUGAGUGCAUUUGCGAGUAAAAGUGGGAGGGCGGUGCACCCCCAGUCACCUCCCUCGGGUGCUCCUCCUGGGGGCAACACAGAACUAGCCAGCUUGUUUGAGUGCCCGGUAUGCUUUGAUUAUGUGUUGCCUCCGAUCCUUCAGUGCCAGAGUGGACAUUUAGUUUGUGCCAACUGUCGCCCAAAGCUCACAUGCUGUCCAACAUGCCGGGGGCCUUUAGGAAACAUAAGAAACUUAGCAAUGGAGAAAGUUGCAACCACGGUAAUGUUCCCUUGCAAAUACUCCUCCUCUGGGUGUUCUGCGACCCUCCUCCACACAGACAAGACGGAACAUGAAGACACCUGCGAGUUCCGUCCGUACUUGUGUCCGUGCCCCGGUGCUUCUUGUAAAUGGCAAGGAUCUCUAGAGCAGGUCAUGCCUCACCUUAUGAGCGUCCACAAAAGUAUUACCACACUGCAAGGUGAGGACAUAGUGUUCCUGGCAACGGACAUCAACUUACCUGGGGCAGUAGACUGGGUCAUGAUGCAGAGCUGCUUUGGACACCAUUUUAUGCUGGUGUUAGAGAAGCAGGAAAAAUAUGACGGCCACCAACAGUUUUUUGCUAUUGUACAACUCAUAGGCUCAAGAAAACAAGCUGAAAACUUUGCAUAUAGAUUGGAGUUGAAUGGUCCUCGGCGAAGAUUGACAUGGGAAGCCACUCCACGUUCAAUACAUGAGGGCGUCCAAUCAGCUAUCAUGAACUCUGACUGUCUCGUGUUUGACACCUCCAUUGCCCAGCUGUUUGCAGAUAACGGCAAUCUUGGCAUCAACGUCACAAUAUCCAUGUGCUGAAGAUGUUACUGCGUGUGGAUGCCUGUGAUGACAAAAAACUGCUGAUGCUGCUCAAAGGUUCUGAGGAUGUGAAGGUCGUCCUUGAGAAGUAUAAUGAAUUCAGCAUAUCCUUGUUGACAUUAGUGGAGAGUGAGAACACGCCUUAAGGCAGUCAUGAUUUUUGACACAUCUUGACUUAUUCGAGUCAGUUUUUGUUUGUGAAACGGAUGGGAACCAAUUUACUGUAUGUGUCAAAAGAUCUCCCAUUCUAGGGUUGAAGCUGCCCUUGGUGCCAUGUGAAGUCCUUCAUGUAUCAUGAUGAGAUUAACCAAGUACAAUACAAAAAAAAUCAUCUUACCUACUACAUGGGUGUAAGAACUCACAUUGUACAUAGCAUUUUCAAAGGAAUUGAGCAGAGGCAUAACAUUUUGCCAUUCAUCAUAUGCAUUUUGAUUUUCCUCCACAAAGUGACUGUAGGAGUUAAGGCGGGAGGUCAAGAGUCAUCAGGAUAUUAUUACUAAAUACAUCUUUUUGUUACUCAACCUUUGAGUCUUUCUCUUACAGUAAAGGAAGUCAGUGAUUUUGGCGAGGAGUAAACCAUAUUUUUCCUGAAUACCGUCAAAGUGUGUGACAAUAUUUCUUAAAGUGAAAAAAUGCGAUAAUUCUAAUACUUUCUCUUUUUAAACGUGUCUAUAUUAUGUCGAUCGCAAAGUAAAGACGUACAUAUUUUUUUAGUUUAUGAUCUAAAUAUUCCAUGCAAAUUAAAGGAUAUUUCUUCAGUGAGGUUAAGACAUGGACUCGGUAUAUUGUGUUGGCUGUGGUAGCUGUAUACCAUAUAAUGCAACCUUGUUCCUCUUAGAUAAUAAAACACCUGAACUAGCAUGACCAUCUAUACCUGUGUGAGAAUCUCUACAGAGGGAAGUGAUAUAUAAUUCUCUUCUCUGUAUUGAAGUUUGAUAAAUGUUUUCAUGUGAGGUAAUGUAAUUUAUGACAGAACUGUAUCUAGUAUCAUCCUCUUGGUUGGGGAGAUUGGGUUGUCUGUAGCAGUGAAUCUCUGAAACCUGACUCAAAUUUCUUUUUUACUAUUCAGUUUUGAUAAGAUGGUGAUAAUAUUCUUUUAGGUUUACUCUCAGGAAGGUGGACUACAUUUGAGCAGACGUUGACCUGUGCAUGGCCUUUAGAUCAAAAAUUUUUUAGGCUUGGUAAUGGCGGUCUUCUUAAAACAAUUCAGGAGGCCUUUAUAUGUAACCCAACUGAUAUACCUACAAGGAUACUCAUAUAUUACAGUGACACACAUACACACAAGGAUAUACAUUAUACACAUAUAUCACUACAAUGGUCAAACAAGUCCAGUCCAGCCCAGAUACAAGGAGCCAGUAUACUUUAGCUUUCAUUCACAAGCCUUGGGUAACCGUGAGUGUUGGCGAGUGUAGAAUUCCUAACGCGGAACCGACAUUAAAGAAAACAACAGGUUCCUCGGGUAUCUGUACCAUUAUACCGUACCGUACGUCUUUUAUCCUUGCACGACUAUAAUGGUCUCUACCACUGGUCUUUUUUUCGCUAGGUCUUCAAAAGAAUCCUAUUGAUUGUGUUAAUGUGGAUCCCUGGAAAAGACGGUGCAUAGGUAUGGAUUAUUAUUAUUUUUUUUAGAAGAGUUAAGGUUUGUUCUUUUUGAUAUUACAGCUUACAUUCAAGUUUCCUGUGAAGGUAAACUCACAUUAAGAGUGUUGUUUAUUUUCACUUGUUUCUUUUGUUUUCUAAUGGACUGUUGGAGAUCACCCAGAGGAGAUCACUUACCCCUUACGUACGGGUUCACCUCCGAGCCGAAUAAAAUUGUCCGGCGUCAACCACAUACAAUAUUAGAAGUAGCGUCUCCGUAGUGAAGGAUUUAACUUACUCUAUUAUUCAAACUUUGAUAUUUGUAAAGAAACUAUGUAAGUAAUAACUUUUUAAAGGUUUGGUUGAGUUACUGUAAAUGUACUGUUUAUUUUUAUAUACUUUGACAUUAAUUAGAUGGUAAAGGAGAUAUCAUAACGUUCGAUUUAGUUUGUGUACUGUAGUGCCCAGUCAGAUGAUGUCCUUUAUGUUAAAAAUUAGUUUAUUUGUGAACUGUACAUUAGGGACACACUGUUGAUACAUUAUUUUAAAUGGGCAGCUUACCAUCUUCAAUAAGCCUUUGCAUUUAUUAGCUUUAGCCUUUGACUGAUUCAUUCACAGAAUCUAUCUUUGCCGUAAUUGUCAGUUUGAUUAUCUAGAUCCAGACAGAUUAUAAAAGUUUUCCAAGUAAGGGAAUAAGGUGAUUGUUUUUCUCACCAAUGUUAUAAGUCACCAAGAAAGAGUUAUCUGUUGCAUUAGUGACCAGUGGUUGAUGAGAACAAGCUGCAGGCGCAAUGGGACUCCUUUGGUAUAAGUGAGCAGGGCGGGGUUACACUGUGUAGCCCUUAGUGUGAGCUGGCCGGGGGUGUAGUGUUUAGCCCUUAGUGUGAGCUGGCCAGGGGUGCAGUGUGAGCUGGCCAGGAGUGCAGUGUGAGCUGGCCAGGAGUGCAGUGUGUAGCCCUUAGUGUGAGCAGGCCAGGUUUACAGUGUGUAGCCCUUAGUGUGAGCAGGCCGGGGGUGCAGUGAUUUAGGGGUGCGGAAGAGAGUUUUUUUUGCAGGUAAAACAAGGAGCAUUGUGUAUAUAUUAUGAAAGUGUCCUCCUAUGCAGUACAGUAUUUUAGUAAUGAUUAGCAAUGAUGAUUAUAAUCCUUCCUGUCUGUAUGUGAUGGUGUAGGCAGGGUGGUUGGUGGUGGGGUGAGUCAUGACACUUUUUGACCAAAUUUUAAAGUAUCAUCUCAGAAUAAAGUAUUCCAGAUAUUGCGCCUAACCAGAGUACAUGUACAGUCAACUACUAAAGUUCCAUGUUCGCCUCUCCCCCUCCCUCCUCUCGAACCACUAAACUCAAGAUUCAGAACUCGCGAAACCAAACAAAGCAGUCGACUGAUAGUACAUUAUUCUAUCCCAUAAAUGUUUCGGAUUCACGAGUCUGAAUCUCAUGAGCUUAUGGUUCAUGGGAGAGGCUGUGGUAGUUGCCUGUACAUGGUUUUGUUUGUAUGUUAAGGUUUUUAAAGUGUUUUAUGUAUGUUUUUUGAUCCAUGUACAAAGGUAUAAAAUUUGGUAAUUAUGUUCUGAAACCCGGUGUAUUUUAUUUUACUUUUUUUUUUGUACGUACUUUAUUGACCUCUUGGCUGAAUUCUUCUUUAUCUGUCAUGUUUUUUGUCUUUCUCUCAUUUAUCUGUUGUUCUCUCUCACUUACCUGUUCUCUCUCACUUACCUGUUGUGCACUAUACAGUAAGCACCAUUAAAAGACUAACGAGAAGGAUGAUGGGAGUGUUGACCAGGGCAGAGAAGAAACCAUUCACAGAGAAUAAUAUCAACAUUUGAAUACAGUACAUGACAUCUUAUGAACUAAUGUUUUUUUCACCCGCUGAUACUGAGGUGUGUUGAGGGAGUCAGUGUCUGGUAAAGCUUAAGAGAGCAAUACUGUACCUGUGUGUUAUCCAGGUUUACUGUAUAUCUGUUUGUCUGGUUCUUUGGCGGACUAGGGGCGGUGUGGAUAUUGCACACUGACGAUUUAGCCUUUGAUGCACAAUACGGCAUUGUGCCCGGCAGUGCUCUCUACCACCUUACACUUCCCCAGGUGGAGAAUUAAGGAACCCACACUGCAACUGCUUCAUAUGAGGAUGUCCCAUUUAGAAACUAGUCACAGGUCUUGAACAGUUUCAUCAGUUGACGUGUUCUGUAUUGACUCAUCCACUGCACCUGUUAGGCUAGCAUAAACACAUGAAAAGACACACCAUCUCCAAACAUUCAUUCAGGAAAGACCGAGUUAUUAUGCUUAAGACACACCAGGAAAUGUUAGAUUAUGCCCAGUGUGUGCUCUUGGUGGCAGAACAGAUUGAGAGUGAAGAAUACAGUAUAAGGACUCCCAUAAUAUAGUGGUAAGGGUGUUCAGGGUAAUGUGGGUAUAAGGUAAAGUUAGUUGGUAGAGCAGAGGACAAGUGUAGUGUGGUGACUCAGGUUUCUCUCUCUCUCUCUCUCUCUCUCUCUCUCUCUCUCUAGGAGGAAGAAAGAAGAGCCAAAGGUUUUGUUUGGAAACACUUUUCUUCUUAUUCAUCUUCUUAUUCUACAUCUUUCUCUUCUUCUUCUGCUGGAGAAAGUAACUUGCAUAUAUGUGAUCAUAGGUAAAAGUGAACUGAGUUAGAAAAGGAAUAGGUACAGCAGCUAAAACAACUAUCUGUGCAGGUGGGGGUCGAAAUGCUCCGAAAUUUUACGUGUGACUAGUGACAGCCCUCAUAUACCCAUAUUUAUCGUCCAUGGUCUCAUAUUGUUUUCCACAAAGUAUGCACAGAUAGUUGUUUUAGCUACUGUACCAUUGUUAUGUAAAUGAACGUGUGUGUGUGCACGUGUGUGUGUGUAGCUUUGAUUCAACAAGAGGGGUUUUAUAGUGACAAAUGUAUACAGUACUGUACAUUGAUGGAGGAUUAUAUAGGACAAUUAUUUCAAGUUCCGUUGUUUUAGAGGUUUGCAUUAUUUUUUGUCAAAAGUGAUAAGAUAUUAUAAUGCUAUCAGAUGAUGGUCCUUUAAAUUAAUUAGGUUUUAGGUUUGUGGGGUUGAUGAGAUAUGGCUGUUGUACUGUACCUGUGUAAAGAAAUGGACCUGCUUGACUAAGUAUACAUUCACUUGUAGGUGUUUGACAAGUGGCCCUAAGUUUGUUUAUGGUACCUAUGCAAAUAAACAAACAAAUCCUCAUUAUUUUUAUAUUACUAGAAAGUAAAAGUCCUCAUUACUGAAUAAAAAAAGCACUAAGAAUUAAA
rnacentral:misc_RNA from 1 species